rnacentral:rRNA from 1 species
ACGCACGCUGGCGGCGUGCUUCACCCCUGCCAGUCGCACGGAAAGGCCCUGCUUUUGUGGGGUGCUCGAGUGGCGAACGGGUGAGUAACACGUGAGUAACCUGCCCUUGACUUUGGGAUAACUUCAGGAAACUGGGGCUAAUACCGGAUAGGAGCUCCUGCUGCAUGGUGGGGGUUGGAAAGUUUCGGCGGUUGGGGAUGGACUCGCGGCUUAUCAGCUUGUUGGUGGGGUAGUGGCUUACCAAGGCUUUGACGGGUAGCCGGCCUGAGAGGGUGACCGGCCACACUGGGACUGAGAUACGGCCCAGACUCCUACGGGAGGCAGCAGUGGGGAAUAUUGCACAAUGGGCGGAAGCCUGAUGCAGCAACGCCGCGUGCGGGAUGACGGCCUUCGGGUUGUAAACCGCUUUCGCCUGUGACGAAGCGUGAGUGACGGUAAUGGGUAAAGAAGCACCGGCUAACUACGUG